rnacentral:sRNA from 1 species
GAUGUUAAGCGUGUAGGAUAACGUUGCGUCAGCAACGGCCCGUAGGGCGAGCGAAGCGAGUCAUCCUGCACGACCCACCA